GGGGCUUGUGACGGCUACCGAGCUACUAAAAUAAAUGCCGCCUCAGAAAGCAAAAUAUAUUUGACGGCACUCAAAUGAAGCCAUCCGGAUGCCAGUAACAUACCUGGAGAGAAGAGGCAGAGGAAGACGAGCCCGAGCAGCAUCCUGACCACAGGACCACAGGGUCACUCUCACCGACUGUUCACUGUGAGAACUCAAACCAAACUGUCGCAGGGAGUAAACCACAUCCUGGAGAUGGACCCAAAAUCGAAAUCUCCUGAGAGAAAUCCCCUUGUAGGACACAGUGAGGGGCAGAUGAAUGGUGCUUUCGUUGAUCUCCUGUGUUGGACACAUCUGUUAAUAUUUUGACGCUAGUUUGAUUACGAGUGGAUGCCGUACCAUUAGAUCCCUGACUCUGAAGCUGAGCUCGUCAAUCAGCAGCAAAGGAAGGUAGAUGAUCCUUCGACCUUCCUGGGAACUGACGGAGGACAUGGAUGCAUCGGAUUGUGGCGGAUUUCUGGGAUUGGUAAAAAUUGUAACUUACAUUCUAAUGUAGCGGCGCACAUCACUGGGUAGUCCUCCUUUGUUGAAGGUGAAGUCCUCUGACAUCAUGGUGAUUGACAGUUGGGGCCUCCAAUGGGA